UACGGGGGGGGCAAGCGUUGUCCGGAAUUAUUGGGCGUAAAGGGCUCGUAGGCGGUUUGUCGCGUCGGGAGUGAAAACCCAGGGCUUAACCCUGGGCUGGCUUCCGAUACGGGCAGACUAGAGGUAUGCAGGGGAGAACGGAAUUCCUGGUGUAGCGGUGAAAUGCGCAGAGUAUCAGGAAGAACACCAAUGGCGAAGGCAGCUCUCUGGGACGGUACUGACGCUGAGACGCGAAAGCGUGGGGAGCGAACAGG
rnacentral:rRNA from 1 species